AAAUGGGCCAAGCAGUUUUCCUGCUUCCUGGUGCCUUCUUAUAAGGCCGCUAAGAGAGGAGGGAGGCAGUCCGAGGGAUCAUUGAACUUGGACGUGACGACUUGUGUCACGUGAUUUUCAGAACCAGGGUCCCAACGCCUCGGGCCUGACAGAAAUGAAAGAUUGGAUCUGUCCCGGAAAACCUUCCCUUUCAGCAGUAACAAGUGACAAGGCACGAGCCUGGUUAUUUUUAUCAGACGGGGAUUUUUACCUUUUAAGACAAAAUGGGUUUUUGUCUUGUGGCAAUGUAUUUGGACAGCAUCGUGUAUUCAUGGGCAGGAUUAUAGGGUAGACUGAAAUAGGAAGAAUUACAGGGUUUAGAACAAAGAAUUUGGUUCAUCUAACUGGUUGCCAAGAAUAAAAUUAUAGAAAUGAAAGCCAUUGAUGUUUGUCAUUGCAAGCUGGAAGGUAAAUAUGUCAGACAGGGCUUAAGCUAAGGAAAGCAGGCUCAAGUUAAACCACAGUCUUUUCCUGACUGUUUAGAUUUUUGUUGAGAUUUAGGCUCAAAUAUCUUUCAAGAAUGAGGGAGGUGUUUAGAGCAAUGAAUGAGAAUUGAAUUGCUGUAACGUUUCUCCUUUACCUACUUCUUGCUUUGUCAAACAAAAGAAAUAUUGGAGGGAGGAUGCAAUCAGCUUUUGCAUUAAUCUUCAUGCAAAUAGAUGGUUCAAUUGCAUUAAUCUUCGUAUUUUAGCCUUUUAGGCAGUAUUUAAAUGAUUUAAAUGCCUCGAGAAGAGUCUGUAAGCCUGCUUUGUAAAGUCUUAACUAUUGGAAAUAGUUGGCCAAAUCAAAUUUGAGCUUUUAUUUUUCAGAUAUUGCGGAUUUAAAUCCUGAGAUGAACAGAUUAAAAUUUCUGAAAUUACUUUUCACUUGUAACCCAAGAUUACAUGUGUAAAAACAAGUCAAAAUUUUUAUUAAAUUGUUAACUAUGCUAUACAGAUUUUAUAUUUUCCUGGAGUCUACGUUGGAUCAACCUUCACUCUUGCAUAUAUAUUAGUUCCAAUAUUCGAUAUGUUUGAACAAGAUCCAACCAAGCAAGCAUUAACUCGUAAUGACAUACAUAUCGAACAAACUUUUGAAAUUUAUGGAUUCAAGAGAAUUUAAAUGCUAAUAUCUUCUUUAAAGUAAGUUAAAUGGAUAGGAGUUGGCAUUAAAGGUACACUAGAAAUUAAAAACAAAGGGAAAGAGGUAGAAGAGAUAAGGGAUUU
rnacentral:lncRNA from 1 species